rnacentral:SRP_RNA from 1 species
GCUGGGCGUGGUGGCGCACGCCUGUAAUCCCAGCUACUCGGGAGGCUGAAGUGGGAGAAUCACUUGAACCUGGGAGGUGGAAGUUCCAGUGAGCUGAGAUCACGCCACUGCACUCCAGCCUGGGUGACAGAGUGAGACUCCAUCUCAU